GAUGAACGCUGGCGGCGUGCCUAAUACAUGCAAGUCGAGCGAACAGAUGAGGAGCUUGCGCCUCUGACGUUAGCGGCGGACGGGUGAGUCACACGUGGAUAACCUACCUAUAAGACUGGGAUAACUUCGGGAAACCGGCGCUAAUACCGGAUAAUAUAUUGAACCGCAUGGUGCAAUAGUGAAAGACGGCUUUGCUGUCUCUUAUAGAGGGAUCCGCGCCGCAUUAGCUAGUUGGUAAGGUAACGGCUUACCAAGGCAACGAUGCGUAGACGACGUGAGAGGGUGAUCGGCCACACUGGAACUGAGCCACGGUCCAGACUCCUACGAGAGGCAGCAGUAGGGAAUCUUCCGCAAUGGGCGAAAGCCUGACGGAGCAACGCCGCGUGAGUGAUGAAGGUCUUCGGAUCGUAAAACUCUGUUAUUAGGGAAGAACAAAUGUGUAAGUAACUAUGCACGUCUUGACGGUACCUAAUCAGAAAGCCACGGCUAACUACGUG
rnacentral:rRNA from 1 species